GUAAACAAAAUUUUUAUUGAAAAACAGUCUAGUGAAAAUAAGCUUGCUAUGUAUCAUCUCUGAAAGAUGCGGGAAGGUAGAGGGAGAUGACUGGCCUACGGAUCCAGGAAUGCCAAGUUCUCUGUCUCAGUGGACAAAGGUUUAAUUUAUGUGAGAUUUUAAACUUUUGCUCAUUUGCAGUUGAUCAUAUGGAAGGUGAGGCUUUAGUGAUAAAAUGUCCCAAAUGGAGUCCAUCUGUGAAAAUCACCUGGUAUCGCAUGGAUACUCAUGAAAUGAUUCCUGCAGAAGAGGAGGGAUCACGAGUAUUUUCCAUAGAACGAUUUCUUUGGUUUCUGCCAACUUCUAGAGAGGAUUCUGGAAACUACACUUGUGUAACACAUUUCUCAAGUAAUCGCACAAAGUCACACAACAUGAGCGUGCAAGUUCAUUCAUACAAGCCAGGAGAAUGUUUCCCAAGUCGGAUUCAUUACCCAAAUGAGACUGGAAGAGGAAAAAUUGCUUGUCCUACCAUUGAUAACUAUAAGGAUGCUACUAUUGUUCAGUGGUAUAAGGACUGCAAACCUCUUCAAGGACAGAGAUACUUCAAGAAAGAAAAAUAUAUUUAUAUUGAGAAUCCAGGAAGGGAGGAUGAUGGUUAUUAUACAUGUCAAUUUAUUUAUACCCAUAAAGGAAAUGUGUUUAAUGUAUCAGCAACAAGAAUUUUCAUAAGUGAGGUGAAAUACUCACCUCUACCACCUCAAAUCAUAUUUCCAAAGAAUAAAGAUGUAGUAGAAGCAGAGCUUGGUGCUGCUUUGUCUCUGAAAUGUCGGGCCCGCCUGGGGAUUAAGAAACAGCCAGUGGCUGCUGUCAGAUGGGAUGUGGAUAACCUCCCAGUGAAAAACCUUGUUUUAUCAAGAUUUCGUGAAGAAACUCAUUUUUUUGAUGGACAUGAGCAAGUAUACUAUGAAGAGACCUCUUUGAAUAUUACUGAAGUAAAAAAGGAGGAUCUACAGUCAAAUUUCACGUGUAUAGCAUUGAACACAAUGCACAACACAAGAGUGACGGUGACAUUACAACUGAAAGUGCAAUCUGAGGAGGUUCUUCCUAAAGCCCUCCUGAUCACAGGAUCUCUAGUUCUGCUAGGUGCAAUAGCAAUCUCAGUUAUCCUUUACCAGUCUUUCCAAGUUGAUAUCGUCCUGUUCUAUCGGGAAAUAUUCCAGCCCUACUCAGACAAGGAUGAUGGGAAGAUAUACGAUGCAUACGUUAUCUACCCCAAAAACCACACCAGUGAAGCUAAUUUUGUGGAAUAUUUUGUUUACCAGAUCAUGCCAGAUAUUCUAGAAAAUAAAUGUGGAUAUAAAUUGUGUAUUUAUGGGAGAGAUAUAUAUCCUGGGGAAGGUAAGUUUCAGAUCUGAUAAUGCACUGAAUUCCUUGUCAAGCUUGAGAAAAUUGUGAUUCUAGGUCCUUUUAGGUUUAUAGGAAGUCACUUUUUUCCUGACCUCGAGGCUCAUCCCGUCAGCAGCCAUCUGCCUGCUCUUUCAGGCCAGGCGUCACAAGGGCACUCUGUGCUUUUCAGUGUGCUAGGAAAAGCAAGCUACAAGGAAGAAGCACAGACUUCUUAUCAUCUUGAGAUGCACAGGAAACAUAACCCUGAGUGCGACUCUUUUAAUCAUACACUUGCUCUUUGGAAAGUCUAACUCUGCGGAGCCGUUAUCUGGGCAAAGCCACAACCAAACCAUUGGAGAGGAGAGAUGCACAGGAAGAGGAAGAGGAGAAACCCACAAACUCAGCUGAGGAAACACCUUUGCUGUUAUCACUCAGGAGUUUUCAGCCUUUUAUCAGGGUGUUAGAGUCACAAGAAGUUCAACUUCUUUUCACUGACAUGAUCUAUUUUCCCUUCACACAAUUCCUAGCCUUAGUUCAGGAGAGAAUUGGUAUGCUUUAUUCUUGCUUUCUUGUCUUUCAGGAUGAAAUUCUGUUAAUUAAUCUGUGCUAAAUUCAAUAUAGACACCCUCCAUACUAUCAUGUAUGAUUGCUGUCACCUAGGUGCUAUCUGCUCUCCUCCAGAGCUGACUUGUCUGUCUUGUGCUCUGGUUCUUCCUGUAGACUGGAUCUCUCUCUGUCAGUGAGCAGGAAUGAAGCCUAAGCUGAUGCAUUUUCUGUUUCACAUUUCUGAAAUCAUCUGCAUUGGGCCAGGUGUCAUUCAUCUGCCCUGAGUUGAGGCUCAGAUCUUUGAUGUCCUUCUCUUCUGGAAAGUUGUGAAAGGGCUGCCUGGCCUUGGGAAAAACAAAGGUAAAGAAAAGCUGCACAAAUUGUUGAACCAGACCAUAUCCAGAUCCAGCACAAGGAGCUACAGAAGCUCACAAAACUGUCAAUGGCACAAACUUACACCACUUGCAGUGGUCCGGCAGCCCCCAGCACAGGAAGAGAGGGUACAUAUGGAGCUGGCUGAUGCAUCUGCAGAUCAGCUGGUUGUUAAAUAAUAGGGUUGAAUUUCCUCAGCUGGGCUCCCAUUUCCUUUCUUUUGGCCCAGCAUCACAGUGACAGUAGCAUUGAUCAGCUCUCCCUAACAUGGCAGUGGGAAAUUCAAACACUUUCAGUUGUGCUGACACACAGAUGCCCUGAGAGUCUGGAUCUACCCCACAAGAGUGAAGGCCAACACAAUGCACAGAUCAGCGUAUAAAUUAGCACAUGGUAACUCAGGAAAAUUAACUGUAAUUAACUCUAGCCCAACCUGGAAAUAAGUCUCCUAGAAGCAAGUCACCCAAAAGUCUCCUAAUGACUAGUUUUCAUUGAUGCCGCCAGUGCAAUUGAGAAGAGGAUGCAGAAGAGCAGACGGUUGAUCAUCCUGCUAACACACCAGCUGAUUAAUUCUAAAGAAGAUGCUUAUGAUCAACACAUUGCUUUAUACAAUGCCC